rnacentral:rRNA from 1 species
AUUGAACGCUGGCGGCAGGCCUAACACAUGCAAGUCGGGCGAGCGGCGGACGGGUGCGUAAUGUAUGGGGAUCUGCCUGAUGGAGGGGGAUAACUACUGGAAACUGUAGCUAAUACCGCGUACCAUAGGAUGAGCCCAAGUGGGAUUAGGUUGUUGGUGGGGUAAAGGCUCACCAAGCCGACGAUCCCUAGCUGGUCUGAGAGGAUGACCAGCCAAACUGGAACUGAGACACGGUCCAGACUCCUACGGGAGGCAGCAGUGGGGAAUAUUGCGCAAUGGGGGAAACCUGAUGCAGCCAUGCCGCGUGAAUGAAGAAGGCCUUCGGGUUGUAAAGUUCUUUCGGUAGCGAGGCGUUACCUACAGAAGAAGCACCGGCUAACUCCGUGCCAGCAGCCGCGGUAAUUC